rnacentral:rRNA from 1 species
GACGAACGCUGGCGGCGUGCUUAACACAUGCAAGUCGAACGGAAAGGCCCUGCUUUUGUGGGGUGCUCGAGUGGCGAACGGGUGAGUAACACGUGAGUAACCUCCCCUUGACUUUGUGAUAACUUCAGGGAACUGGGGCUCAUACCGGAUAUGAUCUCCUGCUGCAUGUGGGUGGUUGGUAAGUUUCGGCUGUUGUGGAUGUACUCGCUGCUUAUCAGCUUGAUUGUGAGGUAGUUGCUUACCAAGGCUAUGACGGGUAGCCGGCCUGAGCGGGUGAACGGCCACAUUGGGACUGAGAUAGGGACCAGACUCGUACGGGCGGCAGCAGGGGGGAAUAUUACGCAAUAGGCGGAAGCCUGAUGCGGAGACGCCGCGUGCGGGAUGACGGCCUUCGGGUUGUAAACCGAUUUCGACUGUGACGAAGAGUGAGUGACGGUAAUGGGUAAAGAAGCACCGGCUAACUACGUG